CUAAUCGGAUCACAUGAUGAAUGAGGCUGCUGGGCCCUGGGACCCAUCAGAUACGUAAUACUGAGCUCUCCGGGCCACCGUAACUCCUGCUGGUGAGGAGCCUGUUUACGCCAUGAGGAACCCGUCCGGCCCCCUCCUCAAAAAAGAAAAAGAGGGUGAAGGUGCUUUUGUUUUGAAAGCCAUCCUAAGAUGCCCUCCACAGGAUUGUGACUUCGCAUAGGGCCCUUUGAUUUGUGACUGACAACCUCUGAUUUUUGAGCACUUCAUUUUUAUCAGUUUCCAGUUUCCACAGGUCCCACAGGUUAGCGUUGAAGUUGAGCUGGGCUAAGAACAAAGAUUUGGCCUCCCUGUUUGGCUUCGUUGAUUAAAAUGUAAAACCAAGUAAGAUGGCAGAACAAUAGGGGUCCCGGCCGCCUUUUGGGACCGGCUAAACCUUUAUUCUACAGUUCGGGCAGCAGCCGCGCCUCCUUUUGUCCCACCGUACACCAGUUGGCUCAGUGACUUCAGAGGGAGGGCUCCAGCUGUAUGCAAAGUGCAGGGUCGAAGGUGGAGGCCAGGGAGAAGGGUGCUGUGUGCAGAACUAGAUUUCCAUAUCAAUAGCCGCCCAUUCCGUCUGUCUGUCUUUUUCUUCCCCACUUCUGCUGGCUUCCAAACUCUGUAUCGAAGGAUGACCUUGAACGUGCUGUCCCCGAGCCCGAAUCUCCCCACCCCCGCCUCCCAAGUGCUGAGAUUACAGGUUUAAGUCACAACUCCCAGUUUUGGAUGAUCUUAUUCUCAAAGGAGCUUGUAAAACGGGCGGAUUUGUUCACAGGAUGUCUGAACGAGGGACUCCCAAACGGGGGACUCCCAGAUAGAGGGAAAGUGACUUGUCUAGGAUCCAUGGCUACUAACCAGUAGAAUGGGGACACCUUCCAGAGACUCUCAUAUAGUCUUGUCCCACAACUGCGGGCUCAGCACAACUCCUCAGAGCAUGUGUGGCCUGAGGCUGCCAAGGCUGGAGAGCACAGAUCCUCUUAGAUGUAUUUUUUUUUCUUUUUUUUUUUUUUUCCGGAGUUGGGGACCGAACCCAGGGCCUUGCGCUCGCUAGGCAAGCGCUCUACCGCUGAGCUAAAUCCCCAACCCUUUUUUUUUUUUUUUAAAGAGGUAACUCUUUAAAAAAAAAAAAGAUUUAUUUAUGUAUAUGAGUACACUGUCACCUAGAAAAGGGCACCAGAUCCCAUCACAGAUGGUUUUUCUGGGAUUUGAACUCAGGACCUCUGGAAAAGCAGUGCUCUUAACCGCUGAGCCAUCUCUCCAGCCCCAAACUUUUUUUUUUUUUAAACCGUUGCUUCUACUCUCUUCAUUCCUCCUCUCUAUAAAAAUAUCCUCUGCUCAGCCCUCCAGACUCUCAUUCAAUUUGUGGAAUGAAGUAUUGUCUAACUGUAGAAGAGAAAAACAAACAGGACAAGCCACCAAGCUGUGGUAGUUUUGUCCUCUGACAGAGGUUAGACAGAAGCCCCUGCUCACCUGUGUAGUGCCUAUACCCCAACUGCAGGACGACAGAGUGGCUUGUUCCGGUUCAGGGAAUGAUGGUGGUUUGAGUGAGAGUGUCCUCCCUAGGCGAAAUGUUUGGUCUCUAGUUGGUGAAACUGGGAAGAAUUAGAAGGUGUGGCUUUGUUGGGCGAGGUGUGUUACUGGAAAUAGGCUUUGAGGUUUCAAAUGGCCACAAUUAGCGCUCUCUCUCUCUCUCUCUCUCUCUCUCUCUCUCUCUCUCUCCCACCUCCCCUCCCCCUUCCUUUCUCCCUCUCCUUCUGCCUCCUACUUGUGGAUCAGUUAUAAGCUCUUAGCUACUACUCAGCCAUCAUGAUCAGAAACUCUAACUCCGAGAGACGGCUCAGUGGUUAAGAUCACUGACUGCUCUUCCAGAGGUCCUGAGUUCAAUUUCCAGCAACCACAUGGUGGCUUACAACCAUCUGUAAUGGGAUCUGAUGCCCUCUUCUGGUGCGUCUGAAGACAGCUACAGUGUAUGCAUAUAAAAAAAGAAAAAGAGAAACUAACUUCUUGGAAGCGUGAGUCCUCAGAUUGAAUCUUUAUUCUAUCUAUCUAUCUAUCUAUCUAUCUAUCUAUCUAUCUAUCUAUCUAUCCAUUCAUCCAUCCAUCCAUCUAGAUAUUUUUAGGUAGGUAGGUAGGUAGGGGUUUUCCAGAACAGAGUUUCUUUGUGUGGUCCUGGCUGUCCUGGGACUUGAUCUGUAGACCAGGCUGGCCUCAAACUCAAAGAGAUACAACCUGCACUUGCCUCCCAUUAGCAUCAAAGGUGUGCACCACCAUUGCCCAACUUUUGUUUUUGUUUUUUUUUUUUUUUUUUCUUUUUUCUUUUUUUUUUUGGAGCUGGGGACCAAACUCAGGGCCUUGCGCUUGCUAGGUGAGUGCUCUACCACUGAGCUAAAUUCCCAACCCCACUGCCCAACUUUUUUUUUUUUUUUCUUUUUCUCGGAGCUGGGGACCGAACCCAGGGCCUUGCACUUGCUAGGCAAGCGCUCUACCACUGAGCUAAAUCCCCAACCCAAAGGGUAUACUGGAAGGUUUUUGUUUUUUUGUUUUUUUUGUUUUUUUGUUUUGGUUCUUUUUUUUUGGAGCUGGGGACCGAACCCAGGGCCUUGCGCUUCCUAGGUAAGCGCUCUACCACUGAGCUAAAUCCCCAGCCCCCAACUUUUUAAAAUCUUUUUUUUUUUUUCUGGUCAUGGCAUUUGUCACAGCAGUAGAAAAGUAAUUAAAACAGGUACAAGCCGGAAAUGAGGAACGGUGCCAAAUGGGGAAUUGGAAGUGCAAGGCCAUCCCCUGCUAGGUGCAGUGUUCAAAGCCAGCCUGAUAGACUUGAUACCCUGUCUCAAGUAAACAAACAACAAAAGGGGCCUCUGGGCUGGAGCGAUGGCUCAGUGGUUAAGAACACAGGCUGUUCUUCCCCAGGAGCCAGGUUCAGUUCCCACACGGUGGAUCAUACCCGUCUGUAACUCUCAGCCUACGGAUCCUAGGGCUUGUGUGACCUCUGAGGGCACCCGGCACACACGAAAGAGAAAUGAAAUGGCCACCCCUGUGCAGAGUGUGAAGAGCAUGUGCUGUUCCCUGGUCUCCUGGGCUUCAGACCUGCGAUGCCACCUGCUCUGUGAGGCAGAGCUGAGACUGUGAGCUGUGCUCGCUAAGCAACCUGGGAUUGCUCAGACAGCCCUGCUGAGGCCUUUCUCUUUGGAGGAAGAGUCCACUAAAUCUCACACUGAAAUGGUCUUCGUGAUGCUGGCUUCAGCGAGCCCCAGCCUGCUUGGAGACUGUGGUGCUGGGGACUUCAAGAGCCUUACCAGACUCACUAGAUGCAAAUCCUCGUGUCUACCCAGACUCACUGACUAGGGGAGUCCUGUAGGAGACAUCAAAACUUGACAGAUGCUAAGAGCUAUUAACGCCUUCCUUGGAAUGAGGAGCAGAAGAAGGUGUGGUGAUUGCAGAAACCCUCCUUAGGAGAAGCCAAAAGCCGGUCUCCUGACUUGCAGAUCAUUCCUCACCAACUUUCAAGUGGUCAAGGGUUGGGAGUGUCAUUCGGGGAUAGAGCACGGACCUGGUGCUGGAGGCUGUUGGGAAAAAGAAAUCUAGAACAGAAGAAAAACUAAAACCCCGGGAGGUUUAGUGAUGGAGCCAAAGGGGUCACACGACCACCAGGAAUUUGUUCUGUGUUUUGAAUGCGGUAAAGAUUUUAUACGCAACGUCUGGUUUAUUUGGUACACGUCUUUGUUUUUACACAGGCUCUCUGUGUAGCCCUGGCUAGCCUGAAACUAUGUAGAUCAGGCUCCCCACGUGCUGGGAUUAAAGGUGUGCCCCACUGUGCCUGGCACAAUAUCUUUU